rnacentral:lncRNA from 1 species
CGGCUUGUGUUGCGUGCACGUCGUUGGCUAAACCUCGAAUGUUUUGCCUUAUGGAUAUGAUGUUUGUAAAACAUUUUUUGGUGCAUUAGUUUUGGUCAUGAAUUUUUUACUUCUCUCUAAGUCUCCUUGGUAGUGGGUACCUACUAUCCCACAUAGCUGGAGCUUGGACCUUAGACGAAGCAGCCCCGACAUUGAUGCUUUUGUUUCCAGGAUAAACUACAAGCUCUGAGUGAUCAUUCUAUUUCAUUUAUUUCUACUUUGAUUACCUAACAUCAUUAUGGCAUACCAAUGUAAGUUUUCUGUUUAUUAUUAUUAAGCUUUAUAUAUGCAUACUUGCAUAGUGCUCUUGCUUUAUAUAUAUCAGAAGUUCGAACUCAUGAGUCAUAACCUCAAGUUACACUAGCCGUAGAAAACGUGAUGCCAUGUUUUUAAGUAGGAAUAUAUUUGUUGAAACUUGGAUAAGAUUAGUGCUGUUUAAGAACAAACCAUAUCUAAGCAUGCAUGCGUACUGUAAUAGAAUCCCCCACUUGAUAUCACACUACCAGUACAUAUUAAAGACACUUUAGUCCGUGUUAGAAAUUAUUUUGACUCAUUCACCAUCUUUUAAUUCUAAUUCAAAUAUUACCUUUUUAGGGAUUAAACUAGUACAAAUUAAUUUUUUUAAGAACUAAACUGAGUUUUCAAUUUUGAACGCUUCCCUUUUCUGAUUACAGCGUUCCUUCCUUUGCUUACUCCCAAAAUUGCUCUCUUCUUCUUGCUUCUGAUUCCACGAGCAUUGCAUAGUGAAUGCAUAAUAAAAACAAAUGAAUCAAAUCAGAGAUUCAAAACUAAACUUCUCUUUCAUCAGAUCGUACCUUGGAACCAGCAGCGCCAUCAAUCAGAGAGGGGUCGUGGAGGUGGCCACAUUUCUUCUUCUGAUUACUUCUGGAGUUAGGGUUUGACUCCUCACCUUUUGAUCCCUGCAUCAAAUCAACAAUUAGUUUAUGAUUUGGGAAUGAAAGUGAAUCGGGAUAAUGAACACUCACUUUUUAAGUGUGAUCCAGCUCCAUUAUUUAUAAUCAUUGAUAUCGGAGAUCUAGAAUGAGAAGUGGAAAUGAAGGCGGCGCAAAACAGCAAAGCGUUUAUAAAUGCGAUUGGGAAGGAAGCGAAACAACACGGGGAGACGCACAUGCAUUUCUAGUUUUCUACGUCUCUAAUUCAACUCAAUACCCAACAAAAAACCUCGUCCAUAAUUAACAUCAACGCGGCA